rnacentral:rRNA from 1 species
AUGACGGAUUUAAACUUACCUUCUAUUUUCAUGCCUUUAGUAGGCUUAGUAUUUCCGGCAAUUGCAAUGACUUCUUUAUUUCUUUAUGUGCAAAAAAAUAAGAUUGUCUAG